rnacentral:lncRNA from 1 species
AUUAUCCUUGUAGGAGUAACUAUCAUUUGUUGCCUUUUCAACUUUUUAACUGUUUCUCCAUGAUUAUAUACAGAUCACUUCCUAGGAUAACAUAGUCAAUCAUGCAACAUAUUUUAAGGAAGUGCAAUUUUCUCCUGAAGGUUUUAGCAUCUACCUAUGCCCUUGUGAGGGUAUCUUUGUAUUUCAUUUCACUCCGCACUGAUCUGUCCUCAAUAAUGUGAUUGCGGCUUGAUUCUUCUAAUUUUUCUCAUCUGUCUUUUCUACCAUGCACAUUUGUUUUAUUUUAUGCAUACCUCAUUGCCUAAUAUUUGUACUAGCUUUGUUUCUAGUAGAUCUCUGUGUAUCCCAAGAUCUGUCAUACCGAAGCGUACCGCCCAUACCGAGCGGUACGUAUCGGUUCGACAAGUUAUCGGUACGUGGACCGCCCGGUACCACUACAGUGCUACAGUAUAAUACUGUAGCACUGCUACAGUAUGAAAAAUAAAAAAUUAUUCGGUACACCCUGAUGUACCGCUUGGUACACUGGUAUCGUACCAUACCGAGCCCGGGUCGAAACGUCGGUACGGUACGGUAUAGCGAACCUUGGUGUAUCCCUUGGUUCAUUGUAUUACUUGUCAGAUAUUAUGAAACGAAGUGAUGCAAUGUAUUUGUUAUUAGUUUGUUAUAUUUUUCUUAUUCAGUAACUUUAAUUUCGAGUAUGGAUUUUUUUUAGUACUCAAAUAGUCUGAUGUCUUUAUACUCAGAAUUUUUAUUUGAGUUAGAAAUCAGGGAAGGAUAACUUGGGUGAUGUGCCAUGCCAAUCUUAUUUUGACUAGUACAAACUGAUACUCUUGCCAAGAGUGUGUUGGCACAUCCUUGAUGUAGCAUGUGAUUCAUAUCAUUAUAGACACGUGCUUUUGGUGGAUGUGUCCGUAACGAUAUGAAUCCUUGAUGUAGCAUGAGAUUCAUAUCGUAACAGACACGUGCUUUUGGUGGAUGUGUCAGUGUCGGAUGGUCCUGUGCAACGUUGCAUUCUUCUGGCCCUCAUGUAAGGGUCAAAUGCUUCGUAAGAAAACAAAUAUGAAGAUCAUCGCAAGGAAAUAUAAUCAAUUCUAUUUGGAGAUUGUUAAAUAUUAUUUGAUGUACUCAACCUUUAUUUUAGAUACUUAAAUUUAGAUGAUUUUAAUUGUUUUAACCUGUAUGAUGAUAUUUAUUUGUUUAAAUUGUUGAGUUUAUAAAAUUUACUUAUAAAUACUAUAAAACUCAUGUUAAUCAAAUUAUAUAUAUAUAUAUAUAUAUAUAUAUAUA